AUAAAGUUUAAUGACCACCUUAAUCUGGAAGAGUGUGAACUUCUUAUGGCCUCAUUGUCAAGCUGUCAGUUGCCAUUUCAGUGUGCUCAUGGGAGACCAUCAAUGGUACCACUCGCUGACAUCGAUCACUUAGAGAUGGAGAAGCAGGAUCAAUGUAAACCCAAUUUGACUAGACUGACAAAAAUGUGUAAAGAUUGGAAGAUUUAUGGAAAGCAGUGACAUUUCCAGUAAUAUGAUACUGAACACCAUGGAAAAGUUGAUUCAUGCUUCAGUGCAGCAUUCAGUCAAGCAGCCUCAAAUACAAGCUUUUGCAUUCUUUGUUGCUCAGAAAAAGCCAAUGUCAUUUGGAACUGUCAAUUUUAAAGAACUGAACAGCUACGUCAAUCCAGUGGACAAGGCUAAAUGUUACACACUGUAGGAUAAUUAGCUGGAGCAAAAUUAAUGGGACUCAUAAUUUUUUAGACUGAUAUUGGUAAUAAGUCUUGAAUCACCUUCAGUGCAAGUGUGCACAGCUCACCAACUGAAGUGCUGCGUUAAUAUAUCUCCUAUAUAUGCUUUGUUAUCCUUAGCCUCUGAAGAGAGAUUGUAGAAGUACAGUGCAUUUUGCUGGGGCAAAGAGGUAUUUUAGGUAAGAAAAUGUCAGCAAAAAUUUUCCAUGGCUUGAAUAUUACACCAUUAUUUAGGAUAUAGUUGCAGUACAACAACUUACUGAAUUAUUUUAUUUAUUUCAAAAUGAUAAUGUAUAAAAUAUAUCUCAUUUAGUUGCAGAAUAAAGUGGUGCUCAGAACUGUG